AUUAUAGAAAAAUAUAAUACUUUAGAAAUAUAAUAUUUUGGAAAAUACAGCAUACAUUACUUAUAAUGCAUGCUUGUGGGUUUUCAUAAUCCCCAAAUUAUAAGAUAUUUAAAUGUAUGUGACACAUAGUUCUCUUUUAAAUAAAGCUACUGAUCAGAGGCAAAUACUGAUAUUAGUCAAUGAUGCUUUGCAGCAAUAUUUUUUCAGAAUCAUUUAACAAGAAUUUCUUCAGCAACUGUUAUAAGAGCUUGGGAUAUAGGAAUAAACAAAACAGUUCAAGAUUUCUGCGUGGUGGCGCUUACGUUCACGUAAUUCUGAUUAACUCGUGCUUUCAUUUUCUUUCGUUGUUUUCCCUCUUCACACGCUGAAGAUCAAUUUCAUAUUCAAGCUCAUCUGUUCUCCAUGCGGCAACAGGUCCAAACUAGCAAGCAGGGACCGGAACCGUCCAGCUUCUCAGGGUUUGUAGUGCUGGACCAAAGAGAAGAGUCCUCCGGGGUUCCUAGAAGGGCGAGCCGCGCGUUACCAUGGAGACCGCGGAAUGUAAAGGCUCUGCACUUUGGCGUUCAGCCGCUCGUCUCUGAGGGGCGCGUGGGGUUUUUUGGAGCUAACCUGAGGAGGCCUUUGCGCUCCUUCGGCCCCACCGCGGGGAAGGCAGGACCCGCAAGGUCGGCGGAGAAGGCCAGUAACCUAAAAUGCAGAGUGGAGCCACUGAACUUCACUGGUAUCUAAAGCCAUACUGCCAAUGGACAAAAAAAUGCAGAGCAGCUCCUGCCCCUGGCUCAAAAUGUCAGUCACUGGGAGAAGGCAGUUACUUCUGAUGGGUGUUCACAGGGGUUUGGCCCCCUUGAGGAGACCUGUCCUGAGCAGCAGGCCCUGGAAGUCCUACCUGGAGAGAGACGGGACUGAAUGUGGGUACAUGAUUCACCUAGCAGAGAGAAGGUCACAGUAGUGAUGGGAGAUGAAGAGCGAGAUCUGGAUGGAGAAGAAUGGGUUCCAUCGAGUGCCCAGGAAGGGCAGAGCUUGGCAUGUGAGAAGAUUUUGGCAUCAGCUUUCGAUUCACCAGUUAUUCAACAUUGGCCCAUAGUCAUCCAGCCUGAAGACGUCAUUCCUUUUCCUUGGGUCCUGCAAAAGAGAGGAUAGAUGCCAGACAGACUCUGCAGAGCAGCCAACCAGAUUAUUUGAAAAUGCAAAUCAGAUUUUGGAAGACUUAAAAAGAAGAAGAGGAGCUUCCCUGGUGGCACAGUGGUUAAGAAUCCAGCUGCCAAUGCAUGGGAUGCGGGUUCAAGCCCUGGUCCGCGAAUAUCCCACGUGCUGCGGAGCAGCUAAGCCACGUGCCACAACUACUGAAGCCUGCGCGCCCAGAGCCCUUGCUCCACAACAAGAGAAGCCACUGCGAUGAGGAGCCCGCGCACCACAAUGAAGAGUAGCCCUUGCUCGCCGCAACUAGAGAAAGCCUGCGCACAGCAACGAAGACCCAGCGAGCCAAAAGUAAAUAAAAUAAAUAAAUUUAUGACAAAAAAAAAGAAAAAGAAACACUGAAAUGGCUGACAUAGUAACUUCAGGAACUAGCUUCCAUCCUAAGGCUGGGAAUACAAAGGGAAGAGAAUCCAAAUGCUUGCGGAGGGACUUGCAGAGCUGAGACUCAGACUACCAAACGGAGGUCUCCACUUGGCUGUGGCUGGGUGCCUCUGGCGCACUGAGGAUUUGGUGCUGCCUUGUUGAUUCUGGUAACUCUGAAGAGGUACAAGGACACUGGCUUUAGGAUCACUAAAAUAGUUGGAAACUGGAACCAAUUGCUGCUUCUGGGUUAAGUUCUGUUACUGGGGUAAUAUAGGAACAAAAACAAAAAAGUAAUGAGGAAGUUCCUUCUUGCCGUGUCCUGUCUUUUAAUACCUCUUUAUGGCUCUCUGAUAGAAUGUAACUAACUAGAAGCCAUCUUGCAGAGAAGAAAUGUAGUUUUAGAUUACCAAAUCCAGAACUGUAGAGCAAGAUAUAGAAAAGUAGGUUUAGAGUAGAAAGUUUAAUAUGUAGCAUAAUCCAAUUGUGUAUCGAGUUUAAUAUCCAGCUCAUCUUUAGUUACUUAGCAUCCAUACAGACCCUUGUACACGUAUGUGAACAUUUACGAGCUAGCAUAACAACUUUAUGCUUCUGCCUAACAAGAUAUAGCUAUUUUUCAGGCUACUGAAAAUGUUUUCAUUCUCUCCCCAAAAAGAGUAGACAAAAAGUCCCGACAGUCAUUUUUUCUUCAUUUAUGGGAAUUUUAACUACUUUUCUAUUUCAGACACAGACCAUCCUGAACAUGCAGUAACCUAAGACUAUGGCUGCCUUUUAAAUUCCUUAAUGGUGUCUUUUGAAGAGACAAAGUUUUAAUUUAAAAAAGUUCAAUACAUGAAUUUUUGUUUUAUGAUUAGUCUUUACCUACUCUAAGGUUAUGAAGAUAGUGUUCUAUAUUUUUUCUAGAAGCUUUAUAAUUUUAGCUUUUAUGUUUAGGUCUAUGAUUCAUUUCAAGUUAAUUUUUAUGUAUGGUGUGAGGUAGAAGUUGAACUUCAAUAUUUUCCAUAGGAUAUCCAGCAAUUUCAGCACCAUUUGUUUUAUCUUUUCCUUAUUAAAUUUUGUCACCUUUGUCAAAACUCAGUUGACCUUAUACGUCUGUUUCUGGGCUCUCUAUUGACCUAUUUGUCUAUGCUUAGGCCAAUACUGCAAUGUCCUGAUUGCUGUAGAUUUAUAGUAAAUCUAGGAAUUAGGUGAUGUAGUUCCUUCAACUUUGUUCUUCUCUUUUAAGAUGGUUUGGGGAUAUUGUAGGUGUUUGCAUUUCCAUGUCAGUUUUACAAUCAGCUGGUCAAUUUCUUAAAAAAUUUGGUUGGUAUAUUAGUUUCCUAUUGCUGCUGUUACAAAUUACCAAAAACUUAGUGGCUUUAAAUAACACAGAUUUAUUAUCUUACAUUUUUGGAGAUGAGAAGUCCAAAAUGGGUGUCUCUGAGAUAAAUGCAAGAUUUUAGUAGGGUUGCAUUCUUUUCUGGAGGCUCUAGGGAGAAUUCAUUUUCUUGCCUUUUCCAGUUUCUGGGGUCUGCCAUAUUCGUUGGCUCAUGGCCUCCUUCCAUCUUCAAGCUAGGAAUGGCCAGUCUGGUCUUCUCCAUUGAGCACUCUGACAUUGACUCUUCUGCCUCCGUUUUCCUUCAUUUAAGGAUGCUUGUGAUUACAUUGGGACCAUCCAGAUAAUUCUGAAUAAUCUCCCUCUUUUAAGGUUUGUGAUUAGCAGCCUUAAUUCCAUCUGCAACUUUAAUUCUCUCUUACCACAUCACAUAAUAUAUUCACAGGUUCAAAGGGAUAGGAUGAGGACAUCUUUUGGGGAGCCAUUAUUCUGCCUACUUAGUUGGAGACGUUUUGAAUCUGGAGAUCAGUUUGGGGAAAACUGACAUUAUAACAAUACUAUGUCUUCCAAUCCAUGAACGUGGUCUAGCUCCAUAUUUAUUUAGGCCUUCUUUGAUUUCUCUUAGUGCUGUUUAAUAGUUUUCAAAGCAGAGGUCUUGCACAUCAUUUGUUUAGAUUUAUUCCUAUUUAAAAAUGCUAUUUUAACUGGUUUUAUUUUUAAAUUUCAAUUUUCUAUUGUUUAUUGCUUAUAUAGAAAUGCAACUGAAUUUUAAAUUUUCAUCUUGUAUCUAGCCACCUUUUGACUUCACUUAUUAGUUCUUGUUAAGGUCUCUACUACAAUUUUAAAUUGAAUUUAUAUUUAUCUUGUUCCUGAAUUCAGGAGGAAAGUGUUCAUUACUUUAUUAUUAAACAUCCUGUUAGCUCAAGCUUUUUUGGUAGCUAAUCUUUAUUAGAUUAAUUAAACACACUGAAGCAGAGAGUCUGGCUGACACUACCACCAAAUCAGCAUCUUGACAACCAUCAAGCUGGAGAUGAAAUACUGGCAUCUUUACACCUUCACUUUCCAGAAGAAAACACUGCAGAGAAUGGUCUCUACCUGCCUCCCCCUUCAGAUUCUUACACAAAUACAUCUAAUUGUUUUCACUUUCUAGCCCUUAUAGUACAAGAAACCAAACCAGAGGGGUGCUAAAGUGGAUUCUGAGUACUAAUCAACAAUAUAUUGCACACACUGGUAACAAAUAAUACAUUCUUUAGUCUGUUUGUUCUGCAUUGUUUUACAUUUUGAUUGAUCUUUUCCUUGGCUGCAUUAAUUCUGAAAAAUUUAAGAAAUUACAUGAAUCGUCUACUAACUGAGAUAUUCCAUAUCAGAAAAGCUUCGCUCUGCUUCUUUCACAUAUAAAAGACAAUUUAUUUGGACAUAGAAUUAUUUGCUAGUGAGUUUUUCCAUUGCAAAAUUUCAGUGGGCAUUUCAAGGCCCAUACUUGGAAUGUCUUUUUUACUUCCAACAUCUUUGCUUUCAUCAAAGUUACUAUAUCUAUUUCUUUCUUUUCGUCUGCAAUUUUGGCACUACACUACAAAAUGUUAGCCCUAGCAAUAAAGAUUAAAUGAAGUGAUGGACUGACUCAAUUUCUGAACGUCCUAUUCCUAGAUUUUCUAAUUUUAUAGGGCACUUGUUUUCAAUCUUGGCUGAACAUUAGCCUUUUGGCAAAUAUAAUUGAUUGCUUUGAGAGGUGGUAUAGCUCUGUGGUUUAAAAAACUUCUAUAGAUGAUUCCAUUAUAUAUCGUCUUUAAAAAAUGACAUCAGAAUAAAUCUUGCUAUGAGAAAUGAAUUUAAGCUGAUAAAAUGUUUUCACCUUAGAGGCAGUUUUGCCUCUUACACAUGAGUAAAGGAGAUUCUCAGAUUAUAAUUUCCUGAUUUUUCAACCAUUGAUGCUAUACAUUUAAUUGUAGAUCAGCAAUUACAUGCUGAUAACCUACUCUGUAACAUGGAAUUUAAAAAAUUUCUUCCAACUAGUUAGAAAAAUUGUUUAUGUAGUCAUCUAAUGAUACUUUCAGUAUCUCCAGUAUCUAUUUUAGUAGUUGACACAAAGUAGGGACUUAUCCAAUAUUUGUUGAAGACUGUAAUUACAUACUUUCUAAAUAUUAAAAUAAUUAUUUCUGAAACUGGUUAUAUAUAUAUUAGAAUGUUUUUCACUUUGUUUUGACUAAUUACUAGCAAAGAAUUAAUUGUUACCACUCAUUUUUUAAAAGACUUUUUUUUUUUUUUUUUUUUUAGUAAUCAACUUUUUAUUAUAUCCCAAUCUACUCGGGGCACUUGCCAUUAGAACAGAGUAUAUGUUUAAAAUUAGUAAGAUUCAGAAGCCCUAGAGUUGGUGAUGCCCAUCUUAUAACAAUGUACUAACCCAUCCAUUUAUUUUGCAUCACCCUUUCUGCUGGAGCCAGUCAGCAGAGAAGGGCAUGAGUCACUCCAAGGUCAGACAGUGUUAUUACCUAACCCUUAUUGUAAUGGGCAAAUCCACCAUUAAGCUUCAGACUGAGAGAAGUACUAUUGAGUUGGCAAAAGCUUUUCUUUUUUUUGAGGCACUGAAAUUAGGUUUAUUGAAGAAAGAGUAAUGUGACGUUUGUGGCUUAAUUUGUGGAAAACUGCAUUCUCUUGACAGAGUAAGGAGGAAUGGAAACA